rnacentral:rRNA from 1 species
ACGCUGCGGCGUGCUAACACAUGCAAGUCGAACGGUCUAAGCGCGAGCUUAGGAUAGUGGCGAACGGGUGAGUAAAAGGUAGGAAUCUACCCCUUGGACGGAGAUAGCUACUGGAAACGGUAGGUAAACUUCGAUAAGCCCGAGAGGGGAAAGUGGUGAGACAGCCGAGGGAUGAGCCUACUCUCCAUCAGGUAGUUGGUGAGAUAAAAGCUUACCAAGCCGAUGACGGAUAACCGGUGUGAGAGCAUGAACGGUCACAAGGGCACUGAGAGACGGGCCCUACUCCUACGGGAGGCAGCAGUGGGGAAUCUUGGACAAUGGGCGAAAGCCUGAUCCAGCGACGCCGCGUGGAGGAAGAAGUCCUUCGGGAUGUAAACUUCUGAACUAGCCGAAUAAAAGGCCUGUGGACACACAGGAGAAGAAAGUAGGCUAGGAAAAGUCCCGGCUAACUACGUGCCAGCAGCCGCGGUAAGACGUAGGGGGCAAGCGUUAUCCGGAUUUACUGGGUGUAAAGGGAGCGUAGGUGGUGAAGCAAGUCA